UACAGAGGUCUCAAGCGUUGUUCGGAUUCAUUGGGCGUAAAGGGUGCGUAGGUGGCGAGGUUAGUCAGGUGUGAAAUCUCGGGGCUCAACCCCGAAACUGCACUUGAUACUGCCUUGCUAGAGUACUGGAGAGGAGAUUGGAAUUUACGGUGUAGCAGUGAAAUGCGUAGAUAUCGUAAGGAAGACCAGUGGCGAAGGCGGGUCUCUGGACAAGUUCCUGACGCUGAGGCACGAAGGUCAGGGGAGCAAACGGG
rnacentral:rRNA from 1 species